rnacentral:rRNA from 1 species
UACAGAGGUGGCAAGCGUUGUUCGGAAUUACUGGGCGUAAAGGGCGAGUAGGCGGCCUUCUAAGUCAGACGUGAAAUCCCCCGGCUUAACCUGGGAACUGCGUCUGAUACUGGGAGGCUUGAGUAUGGGAGAGGGAUGUAGAAUUCCAGGUGUAGCGGUGAAAUGCGUAGAUAUCAGGAAGAACACCGGUGGCGAAGGCGGCUCUCUGGGCCUUACCUGACGCUGAGGAGCGAAAGCGUGGGUAGCGAACAGG